GCGCAGUCCUGCCAUGGCCCAGCGCGGCUUCGCGGCCGAGUACUGGGGCAUCCCGGCCGUGACGCGCGCUUACACCACUGCCUGCGCCAUCACCACGGCCGCCGUGCAACUGGAGCUCCUCACUCCUUUCCAGCUGUACUUCAACCCGGAGCUCAUCUUCCGCAGGCUGCAGGUCUGGCGUGUCGUCACCACCUUCCUCUUUUUCGGCCCGCUGGGAUUCAGCUGUGUCUUCAAUAUGAUUUUCCUGUACCGCUACUGCCGAAUGCUGGAAGAAGGCUCUUUCCGUGGAAGGACUGCAGACUUCAUCUUCAUGUUCCUCUUUGGAGGAUUUCUCAUGACACUAUUUGGGCUAUUUGCCAGUCUCUUCUUCUUGGGCCAGGCAUUCACCAUCAUGCUGGUAUAUAUCUGGAGCCGAAGAAACCCCUACACCCGCAUGAACUUCUUUGGACUACUGAACUUCCAAGCGCCAUUUCUGCCAUGGGUUCUGAUGGGCUUUUCAUUGCUCCUGGGCAACUCUGUCAUCAUUGACCUUCUCGGUGAGAGGAGAGGGGUGGGGCAGACCAGUCCUCCUGGACACAGUUUGUUUCUCUUGCAGAGUUUUUCACUACAUGUGUCUCCUGCAGGGCACAUGUAGUGCCCUUCUGAUUGUUCCAACCAGCUGAUUCUGGGGCAAUACAGUCUCUUCUGGUUUUGCUGCAGGUCAAGUGCUUGGCAAAUUGGGAGCCGCUUUCCCAAGUCUGGCUGUACAUUAGAAAAGAGAGAUCCCAAAGAAACGUGGUUCCUGGGGGCCAUCAAAGAGGGUAUGUGCAGCUGAGAUGAGAUUCCUAAAGACUUGAUGGAGCUGACUGGUGUGGAUGAGGGCAAGGAAAAGGAGGGCAGCGUAAUGCUCCCUGUGCCCUUGGCAUGCUUUAGGCUUAACUAAGGGAGGGGCUGUUGGUGGCAAAGGCCCGUGGCACUGGGUUUCUUCACAGGGAAUUGGGCAAGAAACUGUGGAUAGGCAAGGUCUGUGUCCGACACCAGAGCAAAGGAUGCAUUCUGCCCAUCAUCCCAAGAGAAGCAAUAGUGUAUCACAACUCUCCUGCUCACACUCUUGCUCUUCUCAGAGCUUUCCUCUCCAGUUCCGACAGCACUCAAGCAUAACCCUUUAAUGCUAGGAAUACUGAAGCAGGCUGAAAUGGAAAAGAGGAAUGCUAGGAGAGAUCCCUUUCUCUAUUGGCCACACAAGGGAAAGGUGAGGAAAACCAGCAAGACCAAUUAAUUGUAAUUCGGACAGGAAGCGUCUAGGUGGCAUAUAGCAGUGAAAUGCAUCUAAUCCAAAAUUUUAAGAAAUCAGUGCAGUAAUAAAAGCAGUGAAGAUUCCAUAAGCCAACAAACAUCAGCAUAAGACAACAUGAAGGCAGCUGUGACCUGGUCUGACAAAACAGUCAAGAGAAGGUCAGAGUAAAGAAGGGCCUUCUUGAAAGCCUGCAGUGACAAGGCCUGUGAGAAAUCUGAUCUCAACACAUUCCGUGGUGGAGGAAGCCCUCAUGUUCUCAUCACAGUGAAAAGGGUCCUUCGAGAGUCAUCUGGACCCAAAUGAGGUUUUAAGUUUAUUAAAAGCAUGGUCACAUUUUCUGUUUACAGUCUCUACCCACAGUGUUUGAAGAAGACGGAUGCUGUGAGAUUCCUGCUGAAUAAGGACUUAUGUUCUGCAACACAGUCUCUGCUUUUUAAACCAUUGCUCUGUUAGAGUGUUCUGAUGGCAGAAUUAUGCCAAGAGUGCCAGCUGGGCUUCUGGGUGGGCCCUCAAGUGGUCGGCUGUGAGCUCACACCUGGCCAAGCAAUGACCAAAGCCCUUUGUGGACCAUUCUUCUGCAGGAAUUGCUGUGGGGCAUGUCUAUUACUUCCUUGAGGACGUCUUUCCCAAUCAGCCUGGAGGGAAGAAAUUGCUGCUCACCCCAGGUUUUCUGAAGCUUGUAUUUGAUCCUUCUGAGGAAGAUCCCAACUACAG